CCAAGCCUCCUUCUCCAAUGCCCUCAGACAUCACCAGUCAGGUGACUAACCAGCUCACGAGCUUACAGCCACAUACAGGUUUGACUCUGACAGAGUUGACUUUAAUGUCCACUGGACUGUGCACAACCAACUCCUCUCCCUCCACAGAAGUCUUCCAGCUCUGUGUCAUCCGAGGCAUCAGAGACGUACCAGAUGGUCAGCGAGUGCAGCUCUCCCACGCCAUUUGGCUCCUUUGACACCUUCCAUCCAGCUUACCCUUGUAACGACGCCACCAGAUCUUUAAUAGCUCCUGCCUCUGCAUCCUGUAAUUACCUCCCUGGGUCAAAUUCCCCCUCACACACAUCACUGCAUUGGAAGGUUUGUUUUCAUUUUG
ensembl:lncRNA